rnacentral:rRNA from 1 species
UACGUAGGGCGCAAGCGUUGUCCGGAAUUAUUGGGCGUAAAGAGCUUGUAGGCGGUUUGUCGCGUCUGCUGUGAAAUUUCGGGGCUCAACCCCGAACUUGCAGUGGGUACGGGCAGACUAGAGUGUGGUAGGGGAGACUGGAAUUCCUGGUGUAGUGGUGGAAUGCGCAGAUAUCAGGAGGAACACCGAUGGCGAAGGCAGAUCUCUGGGCCGUAACUGACGCUGAGGAGCGAAAGCAUGGGGAGCGAACAGG